UGUUUCUACCUUUAGACUCUUAGCUGAAGAAGUGUCUUUAGAAUAAAUCUCCUGACAUUUAUUUUGGUCCUUCGAGCCGGAUUCAGAAAUAUCAGAACUGUUAUCUGUGACUCUGUUCCAGGAUCUGGCAUACUGUUUCCUGACGCCGUGGAGCCAGCACCGAAGUCUGUGCACAGCCCUCUUAGACGAGGCCGAAAGCCCUGUAACGUGUGAAUUCGGGUCCAGGCCGGUGUUUUUAGUCUGGUCCACGGCGGUGGGAUUCAGUCUGACGAUCCGAAUCACCAGUGAGACGUCUGAGAGGUGAGAAACACUACUUUGGUUAGGAAUCGCCAUAAGGAACCGAAUUAGACCUAGGUUUUAGAGGUAGCCGUAAUUACUUCGUAACAAAUUGUAAAAGCGCGCAAAUGUCUAUGUGUGUGUAUGUGUCUGGAAGUAAGUUGAUUUUACAGCACAAUACGCUGCUGAACUACUUCUAUUUUAUUUGUUUUCUUUGCUGAGGCUCACGUACUGGUGACAAAUGAGAACGGUUGAGUUUUAUCUCGUAAAACUGAUACCGCUUCAUUUUUUAGAAGUGAAGUAGAAGGGCGUAUCAGCAACCACUCUGAAGUCAAGCGUGCCAGUGACAGCCCAGCAAAAUCUUUGACAAU